UAUCUAUAUGCAGACUUCAGAAUUUAUCCUUUACUGGAAGUAUAGGAAACAUAAUAUAUAGUAAAAAACAAAACUGAACAUAAU
rnacentral:snoRNA from 1 species